UACGUAGGAUGCAAGCGUUGUCCGGAAUUAUUGGGCGUAAAGAGCGCGCAGGCGGUUUUACAAGUCAGAUGUGAAAGAAGCCGGCUUAACCGGCAAGGGUCAUUUGAAACUGUGAGACUAGAGUGCAGCAGAGGAUAGCGGAAUUCCCGGUGUAGUGGUGAAAUGCGUAGAUAUCGGGAGGAACACCAGUGGCGAAGGCGGCUAUCUGGGCUGCAACUGACGCUGAGGCGCGAAGGCUAGGGUAGCAAACAGG
rnacentral:rRNA from 1 species